rnacentral:lncRNA from 1 species
AUGAACAAGUGGUCUACGUGAUUAUCCCCAACAUUAAAUUUCUAUUUUAUCUAUAAAUUCAAUUAAUAUUCCAAUAUCAAUAAUGGUCAAGUCUUCAUCAAUCUCAUGCACAAGAUUUCUAAUUGCACAAAUAGACAUAGUAAUAAUAGCAAUUCAUAUAAACAAAAAGCUCUAGCCCAAAUAGUUUGUGUUGACCAUAAAGUUGCCUCCUCG